GCCAGGCAUGGUGGCACAUGCCUGUAAUCCCAGCUACUAGGGAGGUUGAGGCAGGAGAAUUGCUUGAACCUGGGAGGCAGAGAUUGCAGUGAGCUGAGGUUGCGCCAUUGCACUCCAGCCUGGGCAACAAGAGUGAAACUCCGUCUCAAAAAAAAAAAAAAGAAAAGAAAAAGAAGAUGCUGUGGUGUCUGAGGUUAACACAGUAGCUGGGACGAUAGGCCUGGCUAAAUUAAAAUCUUCAUACCAGACACCACAGCAUCUUCUAUCACAAUAAGGAGAAUCCUUGAGACUAGGAGGGCUGCAGUGUACUAUACCAAUCACUUGUCUGCACUAAGUUCAGAAUCAACAUGGUGACUUCCUGAGGGCAGGGGACAACCAGGUUACCUUGGUAGGGGUGAACAGGCCCAGGUUAGAAAGAAAGUAGGUCAAAACUUUCGUGCUGAUGAGUAGUGCAAUUGUGCCUGUGAAUAGCCAUUGCACUCAGCUUGGGCAACAUAGCAAGGCCUGUUUCUU
rnacentral:SRP_RNA from 1 species